rnacentral:rRNA from 1 species
CAAUAAGCGGAGGAAAAGAAACUAACAAGGAUUCCCCGAGUAACUGCGAGUGAAACGGGAAAAGCCCAGCACCGAAUCCACUGUCGCCUGUCGGCAGAGGGACCUGUGGUGUGUGGGACGGCAGCAUCGGGACGGUGAGCCGGGCAUCUGCGUCUCCUUGAUCGGGGCCUCUCCCACGGCGGGUGUUGGGCCUGUACGCAUGCCUGGUUCUCUCAUCUCCCUGCUCCGUCCUCGGAGUCGGGUUGUUUGGUAAUGCAACCUAAAGUGGGUGGUAAGCUCCAUCUAAGGCUAAAUACGACCACGAGACCGAUAGUCGACAAGUACCGUAAGGGAAAGUUGAAAAGAACUUUGAAGAGAGAGUUCAAUAGUACGUGAAACUGCUUAGAAGGAAACGGAUGGGCGUGCGCGUACCAUGCCACCCGGCGGAUUCAACCGGCCGUCAGCAACGCUCGGCAGCGGGCUCGUCUCCCAGGAGGCGGGUCCGGCCACAACUGCCCGUUGCGGUCGGUGCACGUCCGCCGUGUGUGGCAGCCGCGUCCGGUCGCCAUCCGCCCGUCGAGCCCGGGGACGAGAGCGUGGCGCGGCGGCCGACGGCACCUCCGGGUGUCGGCGGCGUCGCACGUCGCCCGCGUCUCCCACGACCGGGGCUCUCGCUGGCGGAAGGCGACCGAGCACAUGCAGUCGAUGUUGGCACCCGACACGGCGUGCGGCGGGCGCGCGACGGCAGUUCCCUCACGGGAGCAGGCCGGCGUUAGCGCACGUGUCAGUACGCCGAACCACCGGGAGCUACGCGGUUUAGGUCAGUCACCAACCCAUCC